rnacentral:ncRNA from 1 species
GGGGUAGGUGAUGAAAAGGGAAUCAGGUGAGAGUCCUGGACAGACCCGCUGCUGUAAGUUCCGUGGAUAUUUCCGAUAAUCUUUGCCACUGAGGGGAUUACCCUUGGGAAGGCGGUCGGGAAUGGGACAAGUCAGAAGACCUGCCAUAAAUAGA